GACGAACCGUGCGAACGUUGUUCGGAAUCACUGGGCUUAAAGGGCGCGUAGGCGGGCUAUCAAGUCCGGGGUGAAAUCCUCCAGCUUAACUGGAGAACGGCCUCGGAUACUGAUGGUCUCGAGGAGGAUAGGGGCACACGGAACUGUGGGUGGAGCGGUGAAAUGCGUUGAUAUCCAUAGGAACUCCGGUGGCGAAAGCGGUGUGCUGGAUCCUUUCUGACGCUGAGUCGCGAAAGCCAGGGGAGCAAACGGG
rnacentral:rRNA from 1 species